GUCCAUUACAGGGUUGAUUCUAUGGGAAGAAAAAAAAGAGUAGAGAGCACAGUGUGCACUGAUUUGAGCUCCUGAAAGAAAGCCACAAUAUACAUUUAAUGAAUAAAUUGCAAUAGUAAUUGCAAUCCCACAUAUCUUCCUGGCUUUGAUCCUUGGUUAAACUAACAAGGGGUUCCUUGAAAGAAGCUAGAAACAAUUUGAGGAGCCAUUGAUCCCCAAGAAUGAAGGUGGAAAAGGAAGAAUGUGGCGUACAGAGUAUAACAAUUUUAUAUAAGAAGAUAAGCAGUCCUUCAUUUUAUCCACAAUCCUUCCUCAAGGAUCAAUAUUUAUGAAAAAUUGUCUCCAAGUCCCAUUUCUCUAAUUCAAUUAUAUCAUGUAGAGCACAA